UAAAAUUAAUAAUAAAAUGUAUAAUAGUGUAUAAAUGGAGUUGGAAUUUAAGUUAAAUUAGGAAUUCAUAACUAUUAAAGAUACUCAACUACAUUCCAAUUACCUCACGUUUCGGAUUUUAUCAUGAUUUUGCCAAAAAUUUCAACCCAAAGGAAGAAUUAAAUAUCAAUAAUAAAGUAAGAAUUGAUACCUACGCACAAUUAUAAGGACAAAGUGACUAUCCUGCAGGAACAUGUAAGUUGAAUAGCAUCAACAGCAGGGAAAGAGGAGAUUAAGAGGAAAUUUUUGAAACCAAAAUACAACUCAAUAAUAUUAAGCAUGCAUAGAUCACCUAUGGGGGAAAUUAAAUCAAAUAUUAAUGAUAAUAACUGCAGAAAAAGAUGAAAAGGAUAUAAUUAUUUCAAUUUCAAUAUGAAUAAUAAUAAUAUAGUAACAUGGGUUUGCCACAUUAGAAAAUGUUUCUCAAAUAUCUUCUUUAAAAAAUGACCUGAGGCCUAAAAUUUUUUGAAGAAGGGUUUAGUAUGUCUAAAAUUGUUUGCUUUUUGGCAAUUUAAACAUGUUCUUGACCACAAUUGUAUAUCUUUAUUACUCUUAAUACAUCUAUUUCAUCAUUGAAAAUCUGA